UUGAGAUACUUGGGGGAGAGACCGAACGGACUGGGAGCGACAGGGGAUAUCUUCCAAAAUAGCAUUCUGAAGGAGAUGUUGAUUGACGGCUCAAGCCUAAAUGGGACGUCCUCAUCGAGUCUCCUUCCCUCAAGGCUCAAGGCUCCUUGUGGAAGCUCAGAGGGGCAGAAGGACUCUGAGAGGCAGAGGUAAUCCAUGAUUCUCUGAAUAUGACAAGGCUGUUACACACAGGAACUCACAGUGGCCGUGACUGCACAGGAUUGUUCUAGAGUGGAUGAGAAGCUCACCAAUACUGCUGCAGGGCAGGGGAGAACUGGUUUUCUGCAGGUGUGGCCCCUGAGAGGCGUCCCAUAUUCCAGUGGCUGGCUUCCCCUCCCCCCAUACUGACAGCAUUAAGCAGACUCAGGAAGAGAUGAGAAAAGAGAGGAAAAGACCCCACAGGAUGUCGGCCCAUGCGGGCAGACCACAGAGCCGCCCCAGACCAGGCGGGCAUGUCAGGUGGACGGAGUGUGAGCUGGUUAGUCUAAAUCCAUGUUAAACAGAGAAACCAGUUCUGCUAAUGGGGCUGAUGUGUUAAUUGCUCUGUCUCAGCCACCCAGCAGCUUCCCACAGACUCUACAGGAGCUCCGGAAACAGCCACCAAAGAGAAACCGCCAGUGUCAGAAGUCAGCGUGUGGGUUGUGGCUCCUGGCAGCAGCGUCCUGGAGAAGCGCUGGGAGGGGCUGGAGGACCUGCCACCAGCCUUCCCCUUGGGUCCUCUAGGCCCAGAAUCUUCCGUCUGCUGGAUGCUAGUGAGGGUGCGGGGUCUUGUGGGUAAUGGCUCACACCCUUGUGCACACGCUUACGCAGUGGUGGUGUGUGAGGCUGGCUGUUAGAUCCUUCAGGCCCCCCAGGGGGGCAGUGGAGGCCUCUUCUGUGGGGGGUUUUAGAACUGGCUCUGGCCAAAGCUUCAUUGCUUCAGUAUAAACCCUGAAUGACCGGGCUCUCCCUUUCUGUGACAGACAUUCUUGAAAGUGAGACUCGUUCAGACUUUUACUAAAACAAAACAACAACGACAAACCCACCAGACGUAGUGACACAGUCCUGUAAUCCCAGUAUCUGGGGCCUUGACACAAAGGCACCACGGAAAGUUUGAGAUGAACCUGAGCUACAUAGGGAGGCAUGAUCUCAAAAAAACAAAACAAGACAAAAAAA
rnacentral:sRNA from 1 species